GUAUACAUUUUUGUGAAAUGGCUAAUUGAAACUAAUUAACAAAUGCAUUAUCUUCCAUUCUAUUUUUUUUGUAGUGAGAACACUUAAAAUCUAUUCUUAGCAAUUUUCAUAGUUACUAUGGUGUACAAUAGACCUCUUGAACUUACUCCUCCUAACUAAAAUUUUGUAUUUUUUGACCAACGUCACUAACCACUUUUGACUGAGUCCAUGAAAAUUAUGCUGUUUGAGAGACUGAAUGUGGUGCAUAUUCAGGUGGAGCCCAUCUUAUGCUGACUCUAGGAUUAAACAUUGUUGGUGGAUUCUAUUGCAGUAUUUUCAUGAAAAAUAAUUCAUAAUUCAAUUUUAGCUGAGCUUGGUGAACUCACAUUGCUCAAGCUUGAUCCCCUAGCCUGAAGAGUGUGGGUAGUUCCAAAAUGCCAGUGUAUUCCUGCUGGGCAGUUAUGCAAAAUUUUCAGAUAUGAACUUUCGGUAGUUUGCAGAUCAAGGAUAGAGUGAAAACAUAAACCCACGAUCUUUUCUUGGGUGAACAGCAGGUGCUAUUGAAAGUGUAUAAUUUGAUCUCUGGUUUUUGACAUUGGGUUUUGUUAUUCUUUACAAACAGCUAGCACCAGACCCUUGAUUGGUUAUAGUCUAAAGAAGUAUAGUUGUCUGAAAAGGCUUUAUCAGCGUGUGAACCCCACUGAUAUCUUAGGAAGAUGCACUGGUUGUCAUGGUAAAAGCUAUGCUAAUUGGCUUCCUCUAGUUGAUGUUCUGUCAAGCUCACUGCCCCACUGAGGAUUUGGAAUACAGCGCUUAACUUUUUGCUCUCAAAGAACAUGUUCCCAGCAAGUCAGCUGCCUCAGCAGAAAAUGGAAGAAAGUAAUGUCAUAGAAUCUUUGGUGAUAAGGAAAGCCCUUGCUAGGCAUCAGAAACAUUGUUCAGACUAACAGAGAUCACUGUCUAUUCUUGGAAAUAGAGGUGGAGAAGGUGAGGGUUACAUAAAGAUUCACACAAAAACAUCCCUUGGAAGAUGGUUUUGGGAGACCUUAUAGAAUAAAAGAGGAUAAAUAUAUACUAAGACUUACUGUUACUAGGUUUCAAGUACUGUGUGAAACACCCUAUGUCAAUUAUCUUAUUUAAUUCUGCUAACAAAUGUUAUAUAGCUGAGGAAAUUGAGGAACCGAGAGUAUAAAGAAGUUGCCCAAAGUCAUACGGCUAUACAUAUUACCCAGCUCCUCCCCAUACAUACACACUGUACUAAAUUUGUGUGAUUUUUUUUUGUUUGUUUGUUUUGGCUUUGUUUGUCAUCAGGCACUUUCUUUGCAAAAAGUAGAUGCAGUUAGUUGAGAACUCCACUUCUUUGGGUUUCUGGUUAAUUGAGGUUUGGCUCUUUCAUAGGGAGUUUGCAGUUCAGUCCAGGCAAAUUUAGCCCCUUUUUUUCCACUAAAUAAUCACAUCUCAUGGUAGCUUGUAGUUGGAGACUGAGGAGUCUAAUGUUAAUACCCCAAAGGAACUUGAAUCAUCAAAGGAGAGGCCUGAUUUAAAUAAACUAAUUUAAAUGGCCUGGAACUCUGUUGAAUUCAAGCUGUUAAAAUUCCAUCAUUGUUAAAUCUCUUCUUUUCCAACAAUCCACCAGCUGCCCAACCAUAAUGGCUUGUUUAUAAUACAUAGGGUUCCUUUGUUUGAAAGACAAAAAGAGCUUUGCAGCUCAUAGGGCGGUGGUGAAGCCUGCCUAUGCUGUAGUUCCUACAGUUUGCCCUUACAUGUUUCCAUAGAAACAGAAUUGUUGCUUGAAGAAAAAAAUUC
rnacentral:lncRNA from 1 species